AACGAACGUUGGCGGCGUGGAUUAGGCAUGCAAGUCGUACGAGAUGCCAGAGCUUGCUCUGGUUGUCUAGUGGCGAACGGGUGAGUAACGCGUGGGAAACCUGCCCUCGAGACGGGGAUAACACUUCCAACGAGGUGCUAAUACCGGAUAGGACCACAUUUCUGCAUGGUUAUGUGGUGAAAGAUGGCCUCUGCUUGCAAGCUAUCACUCGAGGAUGGUCCCGCGUCCCAUUAGCUAGUUGGUGAGGUAACGGCCCACCAAGGCGACGAUGGGUAGCUGGUCUGAGAGGAUGGUCAGCCACACUGGGACUGAGAUACGGCCCAGACACCUACGGGUGGCUG
rnacentral:rRNA from 1 species